GUGCUUGCUUUGACAGCACACACAAUAAAAGUGGAAUGAGUCAGAGAACACUAGCAUCUCCCCUGAACGAGGCUGACGUUCAAAUGUAUGAAGCAUUUCAUUUUUAA
ensembl:snRNA U6 U6 spliceosomal RNA